GGGUCAUCAGGAUGAUGCGGACGUGGUGUCUGCUGGGGCUGCGCACGUUCGUGGCCUUCGCCAACAAACUCUGGCAUAUCUGCACGGUAAUUCAGCAUCAAACUGUUCGAUAUGAUAUCCUCCCCUUAUCUUCUUGUCCCGGAAUCGGUUAGGUGAAGAGGAAUAUCCUCGUGCUGGAUCCGGAUGAGACGCUUACUCAUUCUCACCAUGAUGGGGUCCUGAGGCUCACAGUCCGGCGUGCAACGCCUCCUGACUUCAUCCUCAAGGUGGUAAUAGACAAACAUCCUGUGCGUUUUUUUGUACAUUAAAGGCCCCAUGUGGAUUUCUUCUUGGACGUGGUGAGCCAGUGGUGGGAGCUGGUGGUCUUUAUAGCAAGCAUGGAGAUCUAUGGCUCUGUUGUGGCAGAUUUACUGGACAAUUAGAAGAAGCAUUCUUAAGAGGAGAUACUACAGACAGCACUGCACUUCGGAGUUGGGCAGCUACAUCAAGCACCUCUCUGUGGUCCACAGUGACCUCUCCAGCAUCGUGAUCCUGGAUAACUCCCCAGCGGCUUACAGGAGCCAUCCAGACAAGGCCAUCACCAUCAAAUCCUGGUUCAGUGACCCCAGUGACCCAACCCUUCUCAACCUGCUCCCAAUGCUGGAUGCCCUCAGGUUCACCGUUGAUGUUCGUUUGGUGCUGAGCCACAACCUUCACCAGUAUAGGCUCUGGUGACAGCUGCUCCCUCUUCACCAGAGUUAGAGUUGGGGGGAAAGGGAGGGCGAGCCCUUGGGAUGCUGUUUGAUGCCCUAUCCAAUGUGAGGACUGCCUGGGCAGGGUUUGCCCCUCCUACCCCUCUCUGCCCUGGAAGCCCUACACUCCACUCGGAGUCUGGAUGGACGCAUGGGCCUGGGGCCCUGAAGCAGCCUCACUCUAACUUUGUGUUCACACUCCAUAUGUAAAUGGAGUUCAGGCUGGGAGACAGGCAGAGGCCUAGGAGAGCUAAAACAAUGUUUGUGGUGGAGAGGCAGGACUGGCCAGAGCCACAGACAGACGGUGAUCCAGGAGGCUCAAAGAGAAGCCAAGUCAACUUUGUUAUGAUUUGAUUUUUUUUUCUAAACUCUUGUACAAAACUGAAAAAAAAUGCUAUUUAUAUACAAGUAAAGUAUUAGGGACAUGUAUGGGGACAGUAAACAAUAAGCACAUGAUGGAAAUUACCUGUGGGGAGAAAGU